rnacentral:rRNA from 1 species
GAUGAACGCUGGCGGCGUGCUUAACACAUGCAAGUCGAACGGUGAAGCAGGAGCUUGCUCUUGUGGAUCAGUGGCGAACGGGUGAGUAACACGUGAGCAACCUGCCCCUGACUCUGGGAUAAGCGCUGGAAACGGCGUCUAAUACUGGAUAUGUGAUGUGACCGCAUGGUCUGCAUCUGGAAAGAAUUUCGGUUGGGGAUGGGCUCGCGGCCUAUCAGCUUGUUGGUGAGGUAAUGGCUCACCAAGGCGUCGACGGGUAGCCGGCCUGGGAGGGUGGCCGGCCACACUGGGACUGAGACACGGCCCAGACUCCUACGGGAGGCAGCAGUGGGGAAUAUUGCACGAUGGGCGGAAGCCUGAUGCAGCAACGCCGCGUGAGGGAUGACGGCCUUCGGGUUGUAAACCUCUUUUAGCAGGGAAGAAGCGCAAGUGACGGUACCUACAGAAAAAGCACCGGCUAACUACGUGCCAGCAGCCGCCGCGG